rnacentral:lncRNA from 1 species
CUUGAACCUCCUGUCCGCGGGCCGCAACAUCUAGAUCGUGGAAGAGAGGGCAUUGGAGUCAGUUGGCAGUGCCCAGACUGCGGGCUGCGCUUGGUCGGGCACCCCAGGCAAAAAAGAAAAAAAAAAAAGAGAAAGAAAGAGGAGGAGACAGUGAUUGCAGCCUCUCCCGGCGCAGGUGGCAGAGCCUUGCGGCUUUGGAGAGAGGUGGAGCCUUGGUGAGGUUGGGAGGACUGCCUAACUGCGAUCUUUUUCUCCAUUCUUCCUCCUGGGAACUUCUCCGCCCUGAAAGGGUAGCGUGAGCUUCAUGCCUUCGGCCGGCCGUGUUAUACUCGUUAGACCCAAUUCACCAUGAAUCCUUUGAAAGACUAGUGGAGAGUGAGAAGGGGGUUUCAAAGUCACUGGAGUAAAGGAAUUCUCCAAGCACCACCUCAUGAUUAAUUCUUGGAAAAGCCUGUUUGCGCGGCCCUUAGAAUCAUUUUGACUUCUUGUCUAAUGGUGAAGUUUUUCUCUGUAAUCCUUCUACUCUGUUUUCUAAAACCAGAACUAAAAACCUAAAAAAUUGUAAAACUUCAUGGUGUAAUUAAAACCCC